CAAAGCAUUGCGAUGGCCGCUGGUCGGUGUUGACGCAAUGUGAUUUCUGCCCAGUGCUCUGAAUUGUCAACGUGAAGAGAUUCAUCAAAGCGCGGGUAAACGGCGGGAGUAACUAUGACUCUCUUUCGUUUCGUGUCUGCACAGACU
rnacentral:ncRNA from 1 species